rnacentral:lncRNA from 1 species
UAAAAGAGGAGAAUCAACUCCAUCAACCGGGUGGCCAUCCCUCUUUUGAUGCAAACUAGGAUAUGGCUGGCUUUCUGGAAUGCAGCUGCACAUGGGAAAACAUACUGCCAUACUGCACAGUGUCAUAGAAGACUUCUCUUUGUAUUGCCAGCAGGAUCAUGCAUAAUGUAUUUUAAGAAUAAAAUACAACAACAAAAAGAACCCAUAAAUUUGGUAAGGAAAGAAAGGAGCCCCUAAAGAGUGUGAAAGUCAAAAUAUCAGUGACAUGCUGACUCACAAGAGAUAUACAAUGGUCUUAUGGGGUGAGUAAUAUAAUUUUU